UACGAAGGGGGCUAGCGUUGUUCGGAAUUACUGGGCGUAAAGGGCGCGUAGGCGGUACUUCAAGUCAGGCGUGAAAGCCCCGGGCUCAACCUGGGAACCGCGCUUGAGACUGGAGAACUAGAGUUCGGGAGAUGAUGGUGGAAUUCCCAGUGUAGAGGUGAAAUUCGUAGAUAUUGGGAAGAACACCGAUGGCGAAGGCAGCCAUCUGGACCGACACUGACGCUGAGGCGCGAAAGCGUGGGGAGCAAACAGG
rnacentral:rRNA from 1 species